UGGGGAAUCUUAGACAAUGGGGGCAACCCUGAUCUAGCCAUGCCGCGUGAGUGAUGAAGGCCUUAGGGUUGUAAAGCUCUUUUACCCGGGAUGAUAAUGACAGUACCGGGAGAAUAAGCCCCGGCUAACUCCGUGCCAGCAGCCGCGGUAAUACGGAGGGGGCUAGCGUUGUUCGGAAAUACUGGGCGUAAAGCGAACGUAGGCGGCUUAGCAAGUCAGGGGUGAAAUCCCAGAGCUCAACUCUGGAACUGCCUUUGAAACUGCUUCGCUUGAAUCCUGGAGAGGCGAGUGGAAUUCCGAGUGUAGAGGUGAAAUUCGUAGAUAUUCGGAAGAACACCAGUGGCGAAGGCGACUCGCUGGACAGGUAUUGACGCUGAGGUUCGAAAGCGUGGGGAGCAAACAGGAUUAGAUACCCUGGUAGUCCACGCCGUAAACGAUGAGAACUAGCUGUCCGGGCACAUAGUGUUUGGGUGGCGCACUAACGCAUUAAGUUCUCCGCCUGGGGAGUACGGUCGCAAGAUUA
rnacentral:rRNA from 1 species